UUCCUACGGGGGGCAGCAGUGGGGAAUAUUGCACAAUGGGGGAAACCCUGAUGCAGCGACGCCGCGUGAGUGAAGAAGUAUUUCGGUAUGUAAAGCUCUAUCAGCAGGGAAGAAAAUGACGGUACCUGACUAAGAAGCCCCGGCUAACUACGUGCCAGCAGCCGCGGUAAUACGUAGGAUGCGAGCGUUAUCCGGAUUUAUUGGGUUUAAAGGGUGCGCAGGCGGGCUGUUAAGCCGGCGGUAAAAAUUCAGGGCUCAACCCUGUCUAGCCGUCGGAACUGGCAGCCUUGAGUGGGCGAGAAGUA
rnacentral:rRNA from 1 species